rnacentral:lncRNA from 1 species
ACAUUCCACUAGAGGCCACAUGGGCUGCAGCAUUUAUCUACCAACUCCCGUCCCUGUGGUAAGUGUUGCCCAUACACACUGCCUGCAGGAGGGUGUGCUUCCUCAUACUGGAGAAAGCCCUCAGGCAGAGGGUAAGAAAGAUAGGGGUUUGAUAGAGGAUGCUGUUGGCAAACUAGAAACUGCUACUGCACCAUGCAGUAAACUCAUAUGGCUAAGGAGAUCUGCGGCAGACAUCAACAUUUGCUGACUGACGCCAGUGCAAUGCUAGAUGAUUCUGACAAAUGGAGCUUCUGUUACUUACUGGCUUGAUGGCUUCAUACCACAUAAAUCUCUUCCUUGACCUUUUUCUGG